GAUUAGCCUGCGUCCGAUUAGCUAGUUGGUAGGGUAAGGGCCUACCAAGGCGACGAUCGGUAGCUGGUCUGAGAGGAUGGCCAGCCACACUGGGACUGAGACACGGCCCAGACUCUUACGGGAGGCAGCAGUGGGGAAUAUUGGACAAUGGGGGGAACCCUGAUCCAGCAAUGCCGCGUGUGUGAAGAAGGCCUGAGGGUUGUAAAGCACUUUCAGUGGGGAGGAAAGGUGAAUGGUUAAGAGCUGUUUACUGUGACGUUACCCACAGAAGAAGCACCGGCUAACUCCGUGCCAGCAGCCGCGGUAAUACGGAGGGUGCGAGCGUUAAUCGGAAUUACUGGGCGUAAAGGGUGCGUAGGUGGUUUAAUAAGUUAUGUGUAAAAUCCCUGGGCUCAACCUAGGAAGGUCAGAUAAGACUGUUAGACUCGAGUAUAGGAGAGGGUAGUGGAAUUUCCGGUGUAGCGGUGAAAUGCGUAGAGAUCGGAAGGAACACCGGUGGCGAAGGCGGCUACCUGGCCGGAUACUGACACUGAAGCACGAAAGCGUGGGGAGCAAACAGGAUUAGAUACCCUGGUAGUCCACGCUGUAAACGAUGUCAACUAGCUGUUGG
rnacentral:rRNA from 1 species